rnacentral:tRNA from 1 species
GAAGGUAUAGCUCAGUGAUAGGGCACAUGCUUAUCAUGUACAAAGUCCUGGGUUCAGUACCCAGUACCUCCA